CGGCCUUGACAUCCACGGAAUUUGGCAGAGAUGCCUUAGUGCCUUCGGGAACCGUGAGACAGGUGCUGCAUGGCUGUCGUCAGCUCGUGUUGUGAAAUGUUGGGUUAAGUCCCGCAACGAGCGCAACCCUUAUCCUUUGUUGCCAGCGAUUCGGUCGGGAACUCAAAGGAGACUGCCGGUGAUAAACCGGAGGAAGGUGGGGAUGACGUCAAGUCAUCAUGGCCCUUACGGCCAGGGCUACACACGUGCUACAAUGGCGCAUACAAAGAGAAGCGACCUCGCGAGAGCAAGCGGACCUCAUAAAGUGCGUCGUAGUCCGGAUUGGAGUCUGCAACUCGACUCCAUGAAGUCGGAAUCGCUAGUAAUCGUAGAUCAGAAUGCUACGGUGAAUACGUUCCCGGGCCUUGUACACACCGCCCGUCACACCAUGGGAGUGGGUUGCAAAAGAAGUAGGUAGCUUAACCUUCGGGAGGGCGCUUACCACUUUGUGAUUCAUGACUGGGGUGAAGUCGUAACAAGGUAGGCGUACUACA
rnacentral:rRNA from 1 species